rnacentral:rRNA from 1 species
UACGUAGGGGGCAAGCGUUGUCCGGAUUUACUGGGCGUAAAGCGCGUGUAGGUGGUGUCGUAAGUUUGGUGUAAAAUCUCCCGGCUUAACUGGGAGGGUGCGCCGAAGACUGCGAUGCUGGAGUAUGGGAGAGGAAAGCGGAAUUCCUGGUGUAGCGGUGAAAUGCGUAGAUAUCAGGAGGAACACCUGCGGUGUAGACGGCUUUCUGGACCAUUACUGACACUGAGGCACGAAAGCGUGGGUAGCAAACAGG